GCGUCUGUAGUCCAACGGUUAGGAUAAUUGCCUUCCAAGCAAUUGACCGGUUCAGCUCAGCAGACGCA